GCUGGCGGCGUGCUUAACACAUGCAAGUCGAACGAGACGAUUGAAAGCUUGCUUUGAAAGUCGAGUGGCAAACGGGUGAGUAACGCGUAGACAACCUGCCUCUCAGAUGGGGACAACAUCCCGAAAAGGGGGUGCUAAUACCCGGAAUGUUGUGCGACCUCCACAUGGAGGGCGUACCAAAGGUGGUUUCGGCCACCGCUGAGAGAUGGGCCUGCGUCUGAUUAGCUAGUUGGUGGGGUAACGGCCUACCAAGGCGACGAUCAGUAGCCGGUCUGAGAGGAUGAACGGCCACAUUGGGACUGAGACACGGCCCAGACUCCUACGGGAGGCAGCAGUGGGGAAUCUUCCGCAAUGGGCGAAAGCCUGACGGAGCAAUGCCGCGUGAGUGAUGAAGGAAUUCGUUCCGUAAAGCUCUUUUGUUUAUGACGAAUGUGCAGACUGUGAAUAAUGGUUUGUAAUGACGGUAGUAAACGAAUAAGCCACGGCUAACUACGUG
rnacentral:rRNA from 1 species